ensembl:lncRNA
CCCAGGGCACCGUGACAGAGCCAUUUCCCUUCACAAGCCAACUCACAUGCUUCUGGAAUCUUUUUCUGGCUGUUAUGAACUGAAUUGUGUACCCCACCACCACCAAAGUUCAUAUAUUGAAGUCUGAAUCCCUAGAACCUCAGAAUGUGAUUAUAUUUGAAGACAGAGUCCAAAUAGGACACAGACACUCACGGAAGACCAUGUGAAGACACAGGAAGAAAGUGGCCUCCUACUAGCCAAGGAGAGAGGCUGCAUAAGAAACCAAACCUGCCAACACCUUGAUUUUGGACUUCCAGCCUCCAGAACUCCUAACACUCCCCUGUCUCGGACACCUGCUGACUACUCCACCAGGUCCAGGCAGAGCAGCAUCAGCUGAGCCCCAGGAGCAGAUUAUGUCAGCACUCAGAUCCAGCAAGUACAUCCAUGAGCCUGUCUUACCCUCAAUAGUCUGUGCCUCGAACCUCCUCAUCCUGGAUUGCCCCUGCCCCCUCCACUGGCAUGAAGAUGUUGAAAAGUCUGAAGAAACAGGAUUUGCUUUUUCCUUGACAUCCAGAUACUAAAACCACAGCCAGAAUGGUGUUCACAACAAAGUACCAAGCUGGUGGCUUAGAUUUUUCUGAGGCAGGGAUCUAAUGCUUGAUGAUCUGACAAUCUGAGGUGGAGCUGAUGUAAUAAUAAUAAAAACAGAAAAGUGAAAGUGAA